ensembl:lncRNA
GCCCGGAGCGCGGGCGGGGGUCGGUCCUUCGGCGGAGACAGCGCGCCCUGGGUCCCGGCGGGGCCGCGAGCAGGACCCGGACUGGGCGCGGGGAGGGGCGCCAGGCAGACGCGGCCUCCGCGAGCGGUCACCUCGGCGCCGGCCUCCCGCCGCGGACGCCGCCUGGACGACCGUCAGCUCCUCGAUUACCACCGUGGGGAUCGCCCGGUCGCAAAAGCAGUGUGUGCCUGGCCCCGCGUGGGUGAUUCCCCAGCCCUCGAACUGACUUACUGGUAACUGAAGGACAUCCCCCUCAUGAGCAGCACAGUUGGAGCCUGAGAAAGGUGCUUAUCUUAAGGGAGAAAUGUUUGGAGGCAACUCUGUACCAGAGGACAGGAAAUUUGUUCGCACUUGAGCUUUAGCUCCACCCUUGCCCUGCAGGGCAGGACAGUAAAUGAAUUGAACCUUGCCAGGAGGGGACGACGGCUGAUUCCCGGGGGUCACCUUAUACUCGGUGUGGGCGCAGCUCGAGUUGCGGCUCCAACAAGAGCAGAAAUGUAGAGCUAGAGGUAUUUUGGUUCAUUUCUGGGGAUUGGACCCAGGGCCUGACGAACAUUAGGCAAGCACUUUGUUGCUGAGCUGUACUUCCAGUCCCAAGUUUCAGAAUGUUUACAUGUUGACAGCUACUUAAUUAGAAAAGUUUUCAUAGGUGGGUCCAUCAGCAGGCCACCAUCAGUCCCCUGUGCAACAUGUGCAGUGAGAAACAACUGGUGUAUAGCACAGUGUGUACCUCAGAACCUCAGGUGGGAAGCGGGACAGAAAGCUGGAGGCCGAGUGAGGAGACCCAGAUCCCGGGCCUCCACCCCAAAGGCCCAUGCAAUUUGGCUCACACCCCACCCUGCACACCCACUGCUACCACACUGCUGAGGCACAGUGAGGCUUCCACACCAGUGUGGUGCCAGGCCUCUGAAGGGUGGGCUGUGCCUCCUGCACCCACGAGUCUGCUGACAUCACCCCAGCAACCUGUGGCGCUCCCCACAUCCCAGCCAUCGAAGGACGGAGCAGGGUUAAGGAUCAGCACCAAUGCAUCCCAACGUCCCUUAAGGGCAGUUUUCUGCAGCAAAGGACAUGGGAAAUGUGAGAGCCACAGUAGAGGCAGCUCAGUUACAACUGGUUUUUGCAAGAGGAUGCAGAGGGUUAGUGAGUGUGUUCUUCCCCUCGUCUUGCAUGUGCUAGAGGGAGUGGGAACAUUCACCUUGUUGUCCAGUGACUCAGGGCCAGUUUUCCUUAGAUAGCUCUAUGGGCUGGGGAGCACUGUAUAGCUCAGAUUUAGCACUUCAAAGCAAUAAAGUAAAAUAAAAUAAUAAAUAGCUCAUGGUUUUACAUGUUGCCCCAAGCAGUUAUGACUUGUGGUUUGAAAUAAAAAAUUAUAUCUAGCAUAAAAAGAGAAAGAGGGGUCAGGAUGUAGCCCAGCAGCACAGACACCUGCCUGGCAAGCUUGAGGUCCUGAGUUCGACCUCAAGGUCCUUUAGGUCUCCGGUACCAAAUAAAUAAAGAGAGAAAAAGGGAAUUAAAUUAAUUUAUAUGCACCAUGUUUGAACAUUAAAAGAGUUUGUGAUUAGCAACAGCAAACACAAAACAGUACAUCCUUGCCAACCACGCUGCAGAUGAGCUGGGCAGUGGGCAGAAAAGUGUUUCUAUGAAGCCAGCCGUUUUGUGGGCCUUUUAAAUGUAUUGAGCAGUAUAUUAUUUUUUUCCAGUACAAGUAGAGCAUGAGACACACUCGCUUAAAUAUAAGAUAAAGUGAGCCAGGCAUGGUGGCACACACCUGUAAUCCCAAUACUCGAGAGGCUGAGGCAGGAAGAUCGCUGUGAUUUCAAGGCCAGCCUGUGCUAUACAGUGGGUUCAAGGCAGUCUGAACUACGUAGCAAGACCUUGUCUCAAAACGCACAAAAAAAUAAAAAUUUAAAAAGAACAAACAUAACUGAAAAUCAGUGAUUUCCAUCUUACUCCAGCUGUGAACUGUAUGUAUUGCGGGCUUUGUUGUCUGUGCUCUUGUUUGCAUGAAAUCCUUCACCAUAGGAAAAAUUUUUUAAAAGACAGCUGCAUGGCAGCUGGGAGCCCAGGGCUUGUUCCCAGAGCCUCAUUUCCUAGGUGACUUUGCCAGCCCAGCUGGCAGCCCUCCUCGGCCUGUGCAGAUGAAGGGACAUGUCUGUGGUCAGAAGGAUCCACAGACACCUAGCUCCUGAGUGCAGAAUGCUGUGUGGCUAGAGAUGGGCAGGGCUGCCCAAACGUUAACAUAAACAUGUGCUCUUAACACUACAGAAAUUCACUCUUCCAGUUCUAGAAGUCUGGAACCGAGGUGUGGGCAGCAUAGAUGCUGUGGGGGCAGGCCCUUCCUCACCUCUAGCUGCAUUCGGCUCUGGGUGGUCUUUGGCUGUGGUAGCAUCACUCCACUGUCCACCUCGCUGCUUCCUGCCUGUCUGUGGCUUCUGUCUUAUUGUCACCCCCUGAGAUAAAGUCUCUGCGUGGCCCGGGAUUACCUGGAAAUCUUAGGGCUUGCAUGAACUUACUGCCUCUACCUCCUGAGUAGCUGUCACUUCUCUUCUUAUAAAGAUACCAGUCCAGACUGGGCAUGAUGGCACACACCUGUAAUUCCAGCAUUUGAAAAACUGAGCCAAGAGAAUUGCCAAGAGUUCAAGGCCAGCGUAAACUACAUAGCGAAACCCUGUCUCAAAAGCAACAACGGUACUAGUUCUUGGAUUCUAGAUCCACCUAAAUACAGAGUGAUUUCAUCAAGAGAUCUUUAACUCAUUAUAUCUGCAGAGAUGACCACCAAAUAAGGUCAUUCCUUACAUUAGAGGGGGAAAGGGUCACUGUUCCACUAUGUAUACCAGGUGAUGAGUUUAUCUACUUAUGAAGAGAAGACCUUGGAAAGGUCGGAAGGCGCUUGGCCUGACCAACCCCUCACCCUGGAACACAUCCUGGGGAAGCUAGUGCAGGACGCAGCAGCCUGCAACUGGGGGAGUCCGGGACACAGGCCACCAGUCAAGACAGCCCCCUCCCUGCCCUACUUUCUCAAGAAAAUACAGCUCAAAUCUGCUCACUCAAGCAAGACACCAGGGACAGAUUCAGGCAGACACCAGUAACAAUCAGGAGUAAUGUACUGAGCGCUCCAUGUGUGCCAGGCUGAGCCCGUCAGCAGGGAAGGGAACUAAAGCUUGAGAAGUAUGAGUCUAUGGUCCAAAGUUGUAUCCUUGUGCUCACCUCGGCAGCAUUACGCCAAAGUUGUAUUCUCAAUCACGGUAGAAAGCCACACUCAAACCCUGAGGCUGCGGCACAUCUGAUCUGCACUGUCCAGGCACCAGGACUGACCUCUGUCCACAUGCUGAGCACAGAUGUCCUCUCACUGAGAUAGGCAGAAGCAAGCCUCCCUCCUGAGCUUGACCUGGACCUCUUGAGUGGGCUGUCCGUAAGCUCUAGAGUGACUGACAGACCGCAGUCUCUCGACCUACUCCCGUCGGAGGGCCAGCUGUAGCAGUCAUGAGGGAGCUUCAUAGCUCAGCUCAGAGGAGUGUUUUGGCAGCUGAGGGAGCAGCCCUCUCCUGACAGAACUCGGAGUCAGCCUUCCUGGAUAUCUCCACCAUCCCAGAAGCACUGCCUUACUUCCAAAUGACAAGCCGAGGGGCCUUCACCUCCUCCCCAACUGUAAGGUGCAAGGCUGCUGGGCUUUACUUUCUCAAGACCCAGUGUCCAUCAGGUGGUUCUUUAGAAUUUCUUUGUAAUUCCUAAAAUAUCUUACCCCCCAGGCAGGUCACAUGCUCACUUUAUAAACUCAAACUCCAAUCCCUGAAAACCCAGGGCUGUCAUUUGGAUCUUGAAUGUCUCCCAAAGGACCCUGUGUCAAAAGCUCAGUCAGAGAGUGUUGCUCUUGGGAGGUGGAAGAAACUUUAGGAGCAGGAGGUUAGUGAGAGG